rnacentral:rRNA from 1 species
UACAGAGGGGGCAAGCGUUGUUCGGAAUUACUGGGCGUAAAGGGCGCGUAGGCGGCCUUCUAAGUCGAACGUGAAAUCCCCGGGCUCAACCCGGGAACUGCGUCCGAUACUGGAAGGCUUGAAUCCGGGAGAGGGAUGCGGAAUUCCAGGUGUAGCGGUGAAAUGCGUAGAUAUCUGGAGGAACACCGGUGGCGAAGGCGGCAUCCUGGACCGGCAUUGACGCUGAGGAGCGAAAGCGUGGGUAGCAAACAGG